rnacentral:rRNA from 1 species
GACGAACCGUGCGAACGUUAUUCGGAAUCACUGGGCUUAAAGCGCGUGUAGGCGGGACGGCACGUCGGUCGCUGAAAGCCCCCGGCUCAACCGGGGAACGGGCGCCGAUACGACCGCCCUGGAGGGACGUAGGGGGACCUGGAACUUCCGGUGGAGCGGUGAAAUGCGUUGAGAUCGGAAGGAACGCCCGUGGCGAAAGCGAGGUCCUGGACGUCUGCUGACGCUGAGACGCGAAAGCCAGGGGGAGCGAACGGGG